rnacentral:rRNA from 1 species
GAUGAACGCUGGCGGCGUGCCCUAUACUUGCAAGUCGAGCGAACGGACGAGAAGCUUGCUUCUCUGAUGUUAGCGGCGGACGGGUGAGUAACACGUGGAUAACCUACCUAUAAGACUGGGAUAACUUCGGGAAACCGGAGCUAAUACCGGAUAAUAUUUUGAACCGCAUGGUUCAAAAGUGAAAGACGGUCUUGCUGUCACUUAUAGAUGGAUCCGCGCUGCAUUAGCUAGUUGGUAAGGUAACGGCUUACCAAGGCAACGAUGCAUAGCCGACCUGAGAGGGUGAUCGGCCACACUGGAACUGAGACACGGUCCAGACUCCUACGGGAGGCAGCAGUAGGGAAUCUUCCGCAAUGGGCGAAAGCCUGACGGAGCAACGCCGCGUGAGUGAUGAAGGUCUUCGGAUCGUAAAACUCUGUUAUUAGGGAAGAACAUAUGUGUAAGUAACUGUGCACAUCUUGACGGUACCUAAAUCAAAAGCCACGGCUAACUACGUGCCAGCAGCCGCGGGAAUACGUAGGUGGCAAGCCUUUUCCGGAAUUUUUUGGGCGUAAAAGCGCGCGUAGGCGGUUUUUUAAGUCUGAUGUGAAAGCCCACGGCUCAACCGUGGAGGGUCAUUGGAAACUGGAAAACUUGAGUGCAGAAGAGGAAAGUGGAAUUCCAUGUGUAGCGGUGAAAUGCGCAGAGAUAUGGAGGAACACCAGUGGCGAAGGCGACUUUCUGGUCUGUAACUGACGCUGAUGUGCGAAAGCGUGGGGAUCAAACAGGAUUAGAUACCCUGGUAGUCCACGCCGUAAACGAUGAGUGCUAAGUGUUAGGGGGUUUCCGCCCCUUAGUGCUGCAGCUAACGCAUUAAGCACUCCGCCUGGGGAGUACGACCGCAAGGUUGAAACUCAAAGGAAUUGACGGGGACCCGCACAAGCGGUGGAGCAUGUGGUUUAAUUCGAAGCAACGCGAAGAACCUUACCAAAUCUUGACAUCCUUUGACAACUCUAGAGAUAGAGCUUUCCCCUUCGGGGGACAAAGUGACAGGUGGUGCAUGGUUGUCGUCAGCUCGUGUCGUGAGAUGUUGGGUUAAGUCCCGCAACGAGCGCAACCCUUAAGCUUAGUUGCCAUCAUUAAGUUGGGCACUCUAAGUUGACUGCCGGUGACAAACCGGAGGAAGGUGGGGAUGACGUCAAAUCAUCAUGCCCCUUAUGAUUUGGGCUACACGCGUGCUACAAUGGACAAUACAAAGGGCAGCGAAACCGCGAGGUCAAGCAAAUCCCAUAAAGUUGUUCUCAGUUCGGAUUGUAGUCUGCAACUCGACUACAUGAAGCUGGAAUCGCUAGUAAUCGUAGAUCAGCAUGCUACGGUGAAUACGUUCCCGGGUCU